rnacentral:rRNA from 1 species
CCUACGGGAGGCAGCAGUGAGGAAUAUUGGUCAAUGGUCGGGAGACUGAACCAGCCAAGCCGCGUGAGGGAUGAAGGUACAGAGUAUCGUAAACCUCUUUUGUCAGGGAACAAAGGCGGGGACGCGUCCCCGGAUGAGUGUACCUGAAGAAAAAGCAUCGGCUAACUCCGUGCCAGCAGCCGCGGUAAUAGGGAGGAUGCGAGUGUUAUCCGGAUUUGUUGGGUUAAAGGGGUGCGCAGGCGGUCUGUUAAGUCAGCGGUCAAAGCCCGGGGCUCAACCCCGGCCCGCCGUUGAAACUGGCAGUCUCGAGUUGGAGAGAAGUAUGCGGAAUGCGCGGUGUAGCGGUGAAAUGCAUAGAUAUCGCGCAGAACUCCGAUUGCGAAAGCAGCAUGCCGGCUCCACACUGACGCUGAGGCACGAAAGCGUGGGUAUCGAACAGGAUUAGAUACCCUUGUAGUC